GGUUUGUGGAAUAGGUUUGGAGUUUAGAUAUAGGGUUUGGAAUUUAAAUUUUUAAUUUAGGUGUUAUAAAUGUUAAAAUGAAUCAUUAAAUAUAAAUGUUAAGAUUUAGUUAUAAAAUUAAAGAAUUUUGGAAAUUACAAAUUGUGUUUAAAUAUCAAAAAGAGCUUAUGAUUUGGUACGUAGUUUAAGUUUAGAGUUAUAUUGUUUGAAAUAUAAUGUUAGAAAAUAGCUUUUCUUAGCGUUAGAAAAAUGUUAUUAUAUGUCUUUGAAAGUAUUAUGGAAUCCGCUUAGAUAAUUUUU
rnacentral:lncRNA from 1 species